AUUUUAGUCAUGAAUUCUCAAUAUCAAGUUAGAUGCAGCUCUUGUUCUGUUUUUAAGCUACACAUCUACACACUCACCAGGGUUAACAAGAGUUUGUGAUCUGCUGUAUGUGAUCAGUCUUAAUUUGCUCCAAGUUGACCAAUUUUUGUGAAAAUACUUGGAUUAAAUUUUAUAUUGAACUUGUGUUGCAGGGGGGCACAAUCUGGUUUUAGAGGUGGUCGUGGGGGAGGCAGAGGAGGUGGCCGUGGUGGUGGACGAGGUGGGGGGGGGAUUUCGCGGAAGGGGUGCACCACGUGGUGGUGGCAGAGGCCCUCCUAGAGGUGGUAGCCGUGGUGGUGGCUUCAGGGGCCGUGGGAGAUUUUGAAAUGUCAAAUGUAGUUUUGUUUACUUAUUUUCCCCCUUUAUUCCCCUUUAACUAUAAUAACUUCGACAUUGUUUGACAGUUUAGUAUUAGUAUUCGGUAUCUAGAAGUUGUGUUUUAAGCAUAUUAAUAUUUACCAACUUACCAGAUUACACAUAGUGGUGAGAUUUUGUUGUGUUGUAGAAAAGAAACAUAGAAAGUUUUCUCCCCUAGAUGCCUGCCUGAAGGAAUGCUUUUAAAUACAAACUGCAAAAUAUUUUGUGUUUCUGUACUAUAAAUAGACUGCUUUGCAUAAGCAUUGCUGCAUUAGCAUAGUAGUGUGCAGUUCAUU
rnacentral:lncRNA from 1 species